UACGGAAGGCAGCAGUGGGGAAUAUUGCACAAUGGGCGCAAGCCUGAUGCAGCCAUGCCGCGUGUAUGAAGAAGGCCUUCGGGUUGUAAAGUACUUUUCAGUCGUGAGGAAGGUGUUAAGGUUAAUAACCUUAGCAAUUGACGUUAGCGACAGAAGAAGCACCGGCUAACUCCGUGCCAGCAGCCGCGGUAAUACGGAGGGUGCGAGCGUUAAUCGGAAUUACUGGGCGUAAAGGGCACGCAGGCGGUUAAUUAAGUUGGAUGUGAAAUCCCCGGGCUUAACCUGGGAAUGGCAUUCAAGACUGGUUAGCUAGAGUCUUGUAGAGGGGGUAGAAUUCCAUGUGUAGCGGUGAAAUGCGUAGAGAUGUGGAGGAAUACCGGUGGCGAAGGCGGCCCCUGGGACAAGGACUGACGCUCAUGUGCGAAAGCGUGGGGAGCAAAC
rnacentral:rRNA from 1 species